CUACGGGAGGCAGCAGUGGGGAAUAUUGGACAAUGGGGGCAACCCUGAUCCAGCAAUGCCGCGUGUGUGAAGAAGGUCUUCGGAUUGUAAAGCACUUUCACUAGGGAAGAUGAUGACGGUACCUAGAGAAGAAGCCCCGGCUAACUUCGUGCCAGCAGCCGCGGUAAUACGAAGGGGGCUAGCGUUGCUCGGAAUGACUGGGCGUAAAGGGCGCGUAGGCUGUCUGUACAGUCAGAUGUGAAAUCCCCGGGCUUAACCUGGGAACUGCAUUUGAUACGUGCAGACUAGAGUCCGAGAGAGGGUUGUGGAAUUCCCAGUGUAGAGGUGAAAUUCGUAGAUAUUGGGAAGAACACCGGUUGCGAAGGCGGCAACCUGGCUCGGAACUGACGCUGAGGCGCGAAAGCGUGGGGAGCGAACAGGAUUAGAUACCCUGGUAGUCCACGCUGUAAACGAUGUGUGCUGGAUGUUGGGUGAUUUUAUCAUUCAGUGUCGGAGCUAACGCGUUAAGCACACCGCCUGGGGAGUACGGCCGCAAGGUUGAAACUCAAAGGAAUUGACGGGGGCCGNCACAANCGGUG
rnacentral:rRNA from 1 species